rnacentral:rRNA from 1 species
GAGAUUGGGCUUGACAUCCCACGAACCUGUGAAAGCAGGCCUUCUGGGCAACCAGACAGGGAGACAGGUGGUGCAUGGCUGUCGUCAGCUCGUGUCGUGAGAUGUUGGGUUAAGUCCCGCAACGAGCGCAACCCUCAUCAGGUGUUGCCAUCGGUUCGGCCGGGCACUCUCCUGAAACCGCCGGAGUAAUCCGGAGGAAGGUGGGGAUGGCGCCAAGUCUGCAUGCCCCUUACGCCCUGGGCUGCACACGUGCUACAAUGGCCGGUACAAACCGCCGCGAUCCCGCAAGGGGGAGCUAAUCGGAGAAAGCCGGUCUCAGUUCGGAUCGUAGGCUGCAACUCGCCUGCGUGAAGUCGGAAUCGCUAGUAAUCGCGGAUCAGCACGCCGCGGUGAAUACGUUCCCGGGCCUUGCACACACCGCCCGUCACAUCACGAAAGCUGGCUGUACUCGAAGUCGCUGAGA